rnacentral:tRNA from 1 species
AAUAGUAUAAUUUAAUGGUAAAAUAGUGGGUUUCCUUAAAUCUAUAAGAUUGGAGGUUCAAGUCCUCCUACUAUUA